rnacentral:lncRNA from 1 species
UCUAAAGAGGCUAUGAGGAAAAUUGAUGUAGCUUAGGUUAGAAGUGAAAAAAUAAGGGAAUAUAAUAGCCAAGCAUAAUCCUUUUCAAGCUCCUAUGAGAUUGUGAAUAGGAACCUUUACCAAAUCAUGAGCAUUAUGAGGCUCUUUUAGACCAUAAGUGAGACCUCAAUACAUUCCUAUUGCCAGUCAUGCAAUACAAAAACAAAUGUUAUAUCCUUUCCCCUCUAU